CGUGUAGGCGGCCGAUUUAGUCAGGUGUGAAAUUUCAGGGCUUAACCCUGAACGUGCACUUGAAACUGGUUGGCUUGAGUGCAGGAGAGGAAAGUGGAAUUCCCAGUGUAGCGGUGAAAUGCGUAGAUAUUGGGAGGAACACCAGUGGCGAAGGCGACUUUCUGGUCUGUAACUGACGCUGAGGCGCGAAAGCUAGGGAGCAAACA
rnacentral:rRNA from 1 species